CCCUCCACUUUGCUAAUUCUUAGUUUCCACUCACUCACUGUCCAAAUUAAACCCUAUUUCCAUAAGGGCUUCCUCUUCUGGACUCCAUCACCACUGAUUGUGAAACCCUUCACACCGUCCAUCGUCAAUCACACACCGUCUCACGGCCAUCGACUUACCACCGUGCUCGUCGCGCCGUCAUCACUUCCGGUGGUCGUCGCGCUGUCAUCACUUCCCGUGGUCGUCGCGCGAUUCACCCUCGUUGUCGAGCCGUAUCAGUUCACCUUCGUCGUCGCCCCGUCGUCAGUUCUCUUCGUCGCCGCGCCGUCAUCGGUUCACUUUCAUCGUCGCGCAGUCAUCGGCGUGUCUAUGCUCUCUGGUGACAUUGCUCUGAUUUUGGUUGUCUUGCAUCAAUAUUAGGCCAUCUCCUUUUAUCUAAAGCAAGAGCACCAUUUUCAUCCCACCAUCCUCCGUCCUAUCCUGUGCUUGUAUCCAAGAUGUUGCAUAAUGUUUGGCUUGUCUCUUUUUCACAGUAAAGUUCCUUAAAUUGUAUCCAAGAUAAUUCUUCUUUAGCUACAGGUGAUGGAUAAGGAGUGGACGAAAUUUCCAAGGAUUAGUAAUGAGUAUAUAAAGGGUGUUGAAUCAUUUCUUGAUUUUGCUUACACAAGAGGAAGACCUCAAGGACAGUGCUGGGAAAAAGGAUGGAGAAGAAGUCAGUAGAGUUGAAAUGUUUAUAAAAACUCGCCAAGGUCGUCCUUGUAGGAAAGGAAAAGCAGUGGACAUAGAAACAUUGGAUACUAUUUCUAAGCUUGAAGGAUCUAUGCAAAACUCAUCAACUGAAAAUGUGGAAAAAACUUUUGAAUCAAUGUUUGGAAAAGAAAAGCCUGGUCGGGUUCGUUGUUAUGGAAGGACUGUGACCCCAUCAUUAUUUAAAAGAAAUCAAGAAAUUGCUGCAAUUAAAAAAGGAUAUGAUAUGAAAAUAGAUGGGAUGGCAAAAAGGAUUGAAGGUUUGGAAACAAUGAUGACACUCAUACUUAAGCAACAAAACCCUGAUUUGAAUGAGGGUGAUAUAGAACAUAUGAUGUCAUUAGCUUUUGGGAAAGAAAAUAGUGCCAUUGCUCCACGUUCAUCUGCUUCCACUCAUGUUCCUUGUUUUGACCAGGUAUAACAGCAUGCUAACAAUUUGCAUUCAAUGUUAUAAUUUGAGUACUUUGUGGUUAACCAUGCUUUCGCAUUCACAAUAUUUUGGUAAAAUAAAACAAUUAAAAUCACGCUAAUGGCACACACCAGACUCGAACCUAAGUCCUCUCAACAUAACCAUGUACUCUCAACCACUUAAGGCAGUUUUGCUCCUUACCUAGAACUUGUCAAUAAAUUCUCUUAGGGUACUUCCAACCCAUAAUUGUUCAUAAUUUAUUAAUUAUUCUUCAUUCCAAUU